UGAAAGAUCGCCAGCUUUCACCAGCCCAAGGGCCAAGAGCGUCGCCAGGGCCAUGGCCACUCAUAUCUGGCUCCAGAAUGAACUCUGGUCCCCUUUGAGGCGAGAGCUGUGUCUUCUGCACGGACACCGGGCAGGGCCUCAAGGACAGCUGCUUUGUCAUUGCCACCUGGGAGCAGAUAGGUAUAGGUCCUAAGGAGAGAGCCAC